rnacentral:rRNA from 1 species
CACGUAGGGCGCAAGCGUUGUCCGGAAUUAUUGGGCGUAAAGAGCUCGUAGGCGGUCUGUUGCGUCUGCUGUGAAAACUCGGGGCUUAACCCCGAGCCUGCAGUGGAUACGGGCAGACUAGAGGUAGGUAGGGGAGAAUGGAAUUCCCGGUGUAGCGGUGAAAUGCGCAGAUAUCAGGAGGAACACCGGUGGCGAAGGCGGGUCUCUGGGCCGUAACUGACGCUGAGGAGCGAAAGCAUGGGGAGCGAACAGG